rnacentral:sRNA from 1 species
GAUAUGAUUGUAUUAGAACGAUGCCAUCUAGUUGUGCAAUAUGGAAAAGUGAUGAUCAUUCAUGUAAGCCAUAAAUAAACGAGAGAAGAAAUUUGAUAUUGAAAUAAAAAUACAUACAUGUGCAUGUAGAUAGAAAAAGUGAUUUUUUUUUCAAUUAUCUUAUGGUGAGUUUUCAAGGACAAUAUUUUUAAAAAGAAUUAUUCAACUUGACAAUGUCUAUUUUUUUCACCAUUUUUAAAAAUAGAUUAGAAGUUUUGUUAAUGAUGAUGAAUGUAUGCCUUUUCAAAUACAAGAAGGUUUUUGGGGUGUUUUAUUUUGUUGUAAAAAAUGAACAACCCACAGAAAUUUUAUGCUUGUUAUAUAUGAUUUAAGAUUUUCAUAAUACUUCUAGUCAUUAUAUGUUUGUAGUGCACUUAUCAAGAGAGAGAAGUUGUCAUUCUGUUUUGUUCGUACAAUCAUUAUAUUGUAAUGGUAAUGCAUCAUGAUUAUUAUUUUAUGUGAUGUUUUAACCCUGUGUUUUACAGUAAAUUUAUAUG